rnacentral:tRNA from 1 species
UCUGGGUGAUCGUCGGGCGCGGGCUCGCGCCUUUGCAGCGCGUGACGCGCGCGCUCGACACGCGCCAUCCCGAG